ensembl:lncRNA
CAAGCAUGAUCGUGACACAAUAGAUGUAAUUAAGCUCCGCCCAUGCCUUUCACCUCUUCGGUUAGAGACAGAGAAGACAAGUCUGCACCAUUUUCUACCUCUCAUGCAGUACUACACGUCAAAAUGCUGGUCCAGGUGAAGUACAGCCAACAGCAGAAGUAUGUAAAGUUGGAUGAGGAUGAAGGACUGUUUGACUUUCUGCAAUUCCAUGAAAAAGUCAUGGAGAGAUUUGGCCUGCCACCUGAUGCAAAUGUUAUAUACAAAGGAUGCAACAGGGACAGAAGUUGAUGCAGAAAUAUUCAGCGACCUCGUUGGACAAGGCAAUGUGGUCCUGACAGUUUUCUCAGAUCAGGGUGAGAUAUCAAGGCAGGUAUAAUAAAGCACUCUACACCUUAGUAUAUCAUUUAAUAAUUGAAAUGUUAUUUAAUUAUCUAUUGCUUUAGAAUUCUCUGAUUUCUCCUUGUCUUCUGAGACGUCUGACUCAAGCUUCAGCUCAAGUGCAUCAACUAUAAUCCUAGAUGUUCCUAACAAGAGACAAAGAAUUGAGGAUACACGUGAUGCUGUGUCUGCUAAACAGUUGAUAGAAGCUGUGCUAAGAGGCAAGUCUGGAGGUGAAGAAGUACUACAGAAGUACCAAACAACAGAAACCCUAACAGAUGCUGCAAGAAGACAAAUGGUUAAUUUCCUGGUGGCUCACAUGAUUGACAAUCAUGGGUAUGUUUGUUUCACAUUGUUUUUAUUUGUGCAUGACCAUUGCAUAAAUGUACUAAUUUACUAAUUUAAUAUCUCCUCUCAGGCACUGCCCCACUAAAACAAUCAGAGAAGAUUAUGCACGUGGGAUAGUGAUGCUGUUCCCUUCCCUUAAGGAUCCAUACUCCAAGAAGGGCUAUGUAAUAGGCAUUAUUAUUGUUUAAACUUUCAUGUCAUGUUGUGACCCAAAACUGUGUGGAUGACAUUGAUAUUUGAAUUCCGUGAGAUUUCUCAUGAGCCUGGUAUUGCAACACAUUUCUUUUUUUCAUUUCAGGAACACUUCUAUGAUGCUGCAAGCAGCACAGGAUACAUUUCUUGGCGUCUGAAAACAGUCCAGAGGAAGAUUCGUCAAGGAUCUGCACAGCCACUCUUUCAUCUCCUUCCACCACCUCCAGGGGGACUGAAGUCUCCAAAAAUUAGUGCAUGUGAUGCAGUUGAAAGACUUGUUGUAUUUCAUAAGUCAUGCUGCAGUUUGGAGGAGCAUCUCCGCAACCAGCAGGGUCGGCAGCCGUACCUCCUCGCUGUUGGGCGUCAGAAGAGCAAGAUUGACAGCCUCUACAUCACCAUGGAUAAGCGUCUCAUCCCAUGCAAGGCAAACCGCUUCCUCGGGGCAUGUGAUGAACUUUUCAAAGCACAUUUUGUGUUUAAUUUGUCUUACGAUGUGGCACUUGUGAAUUUUUAUACAUUCCUGCAGACAACAGUGUAUAACAUUGAUGUGGGGAAAAUGAAGGAGUCACCCAGAGUUAAAGACUUGAGAGCAAGACUGCUUAACCAGCCAGUAGCAUUCUCACCCUGUGAGUAAGAAGCUAUAACAAUGCUGACCUGUUUCAUGUGUUGAAAAACAAGCUAUUUACAGAGAAUUUUCAUGACCAUCAUCAUGCAUUCAGAGUAUUACAAAAUGCGGAAAGAUGUUUACUAAAAAUGUCUGCGCUUAAAUUUCAUAAACCGUUUCAUAUUCAAAGCUCAUACAAUGUUUUGGAUGGAAGUUUGUACAUUAUACCUUCAUUCACAAUGUUUUAAUUCAACUGACUGCAAGGGAGAAAAGGAA